UACAGAGGUCCCAAGCGUUGUUCGGAUUCAUUGGGCGUAAAGGGUGUGUAGGUGGCGCGCUAAGUCGGGUGUGAAAUUUCGGAGCUUAACUCCGAAACUGCAUUCGAUACUGCGGUGCUUGAGGACUGGAGAGGAGACUGGAAUUCAUGGUGUAGCAGUGAAAUGCGUAGAGAUCAUGAGGAAGACCAGUGGCGAAGGCGGGUCUCUGGACAGUUCCUGACACUGAGGCACGAAGGCCAGGGGAGCAAACGGG
rnacentral:rRNA from 1 species